rnacentral:ncRNA from 1 species
AUCUUCAGGGAAGGGUUAAUAUCCCAACCGGUGGUUAUAGUCCACGAGCCUUUUGGCCGAAUUGGUGAAAUUCCAAUACCGACAGUAAAGUCUGGAUGGGAGAAGAUG